AGAGUUUGAUCUUGGCUCAGGAUGAACGCUGGCGGCGUGGAUAAGGCAUGCAAGUCGAACGCCGAGCACUCAAUUCGUUGAGUGCUCGGCGUGGCGAACGGGUUAAUAAUACGUAGAUACAUACCGUUAACACAAGUAUAACCUAUUGAAAGAUAGGCUAAUCCUUGAUAGCCCGGGUACUCAGUUUGAUGAGCGCUCGGUAAAGGUUUUGAAUAAUCAAUUCCGGUUGACGAUUGGUCUGCGGUCUAUCAGCUUGUUGGUGAGGUAAUGGCUCACCAAGGCAAUGACGGAUAGGCGGUGUGAGAGCAUGACCGCCAACAGGGGCAUUGCGAUACGGGCCCCACUCCUACGGGAGGCAGCAGCCGAGAAUAUUGGUCAAUGGGCGAAAGCCUGAACCAGCGACGCCGCGUGCUUGAAGAAACCCUUCGGGGUGUAAAGAGCUUUUCUGGAGGAAGAAUAUUUAUAUGACUGUACUCCAGGAAUAAGGGGGUGCUAACUCUGUGCCAGCAGCAGCGGUAAUACAGAGCCCCCAAGCGUUAUCCGGAUUUAUUGGGCGUAAAGAGUCUGUAGGUGGCCAGGAAAGUCUUUGGUUAAAUACCCAGAGCUUAACUUUGGGAAUGCCUAAGAUACUUCUUGGAUAGAGGACGUUAGGGGCUGGCGGAAUGGUCGGUGUAGGGGUGAAAUCCGUUGAUAUCGAUUGGAACCCUAAAAGCGAAGGCAGCCAGCUGGGGCGAUCCUGACACUGAGAGACGAAAGCGUGGGGAGCAAAAAAGAUUAGAUACCUUUGUAGUCCACGCCGUAAACGAUGGACACUAGCUAUUUGAAGUGUCGACCCUUCAAGUGGCGAAGCUAACGCGUUAAGUGUCCCGCCUGGGAAGUACGGCCGCAAGGCUAAAACUUAAAAGAAUAGACGGGGAUUCACACAAGCGGUGGACCAUGUGGCUUAAUUCGACGAUAAGCGAGGAACCUUACCAGGGCUUGACACCCUGAUGAAAUCCUAAUGAAAGUUAGGACUACCCACAAGGACAUCAGGGCAGGUGUUGCACGGUCGUCGUCAGCAUGUAUCUUGAGACGCACCCUUAAAUGGGGUAACAUGCGCAACCCCUAUUGCUUGUUUUAUUUGUCAAGCAAAACCGCCCCCUCCUAACUUUUUGAAAAAAUAUAUCCAAACAAUUUUUAGUUAUUAUAAAAAAGAAGAAUAAUUCAAAAAGUUAGGAGGGGGAGGAAGGUGGGGAUGACGCCAGAUCAGCGUGACCCUUUGAUGCCCUGGGCUGCACACGUGGUACAAUGGCUGCUACAAUGGGUUGCUAAGGCGCAAGCCGGAGCUAAUCCCAUCAAAAGCAGUCUCAGUUCGGAUUGAGGUCUGCAACUCGACCUCAUGAAGCCGGAAUCGCUAGUAAUCGCAUAUCAGCCAUGGUGCGAUGAAUAUGUUUCUGAAUCUUGUACUCACCGCCCGUCACACUAGGGAAGCCGGCAGUAGCCGAAAACCCGCCCUCUAUGCUGUAUGGCAAAGUUAAUAAAAAAACAACAGUCUUCCAAACCGAGCA
rnacentral:rRNA from 1 species